GGGUGAGUAAUGCUUGGGAAUAUGCCUUUUGGUGGGGGACAACAGUUGGAAACGACUGCUAAUACCGCAUAACGUCUACGGACCAAAGUGGGGGACCUUCGGGCCUCACGCCAAGAGAUUAGCCCAAGUGGGAUUAGCUAGUUGGUAAGGUAAUGGCUUACCAAGGCAACGAUCCCUAGCUGGUUUGAGAGGAUGAUCAGCCACACUGGAACUGAGACACGGUCCAGACUCCUACGGGAGGCAGCAGUGGGGAAUAUUGCACAAUGGGCGCAAGCCUGAUGCAGCCAUGCCGCGUGUGUGAAGAAGGCCUUCGGGUUGUAAAGCACUUUCAGUCAGGAGGAAAGGUUAGUAGUUAAUAGCUACUAGCUGUGACGUUACUGACAGAAGAAGCACCGGCUAACUCCGUGCCAGCAGCCGCGGUAAUACGGAGGGUGCGAGCGUUAAUCGGAAUUACUGGGCGUAAAGCGUACGCAGGCGGUUUGUUAAGCGAGAUGUGAAAGCCCCGGGCUCAACCUGGGAACUGCAUUUCGAACUGGCAGACUAGAGUGUGAUAGAGGGUGGUAGAAUUUCAGGUGUAGCGGUGAAAUGCGUAGAGAUCUGAAGGAAUACCGAUGGCGAAGGCAGCCACCUGGGUCAACACUGACGCUCAUGUACGAAAGCGUGGGGAGCAAACGGGAUUAGAUACCCCGGUAGUCCACGCCGUAAACGAUGUCUACUAGAAGCUGGGGUCUUCGGACAACUUUUUCAAAGCUAACGCAUUAAGUAGACCGCCUGGGGAGUACGGCCGCAAGGUUAAAACUCAAAUGAAUUGACGGGGGCCCGCACAAGCGGUGGAGCAUGUGGUUUAAUUCGAUGCAACGCGAAGAACCUUACCUACACUUGACAUACAGAGAACUUACCAGAGAUAGUUUGGUGCCUUCGGGAACUCUGAUACAGGUGCUGCAUGGCUGUCGUCAGCUCGUGUUGUGAGAUGUUGGGUUAAGUCCCGCAACGAGCGCAACCCCUAUCCUUAGUUGCCAGCACAUAAUGGUGGGAACUCUAAGGAGACUGCCGGUGAUAAACCGGAGGAAGGUGGGGACGACGUCAAGUCAUCAUGGCCCUUACGUGUAGGGCUACACACGUGCUACAAUGGCGCAUACAGAGUGCUGCGAGCCUGCGAAGGUUAGCGAAUCACUUAAAGUGCGUCGUAGUCCGGAUUGGAGU
rnacentral:rRNA from 1 species